GACGAACGCUGGCGGCGUGCUUAACACAUGCAAGUCGAACGGAAAGGCCCUGAUUUUGUGGGGUGCUCGAGUGGCGAACGGGUGAGUAACACGUGAGUAACCUGCCCUUGACUUUGGGAUAACAUCAGGAAACUGGGGCUAAUACCGGAUAGGAGCUCCUGCUGCAUGGUGGGGGUUGGAAAGUUACGGCGGUUGGGGAUGGAAUCGCGGCUUAUCAGCUUGUUGGUGGAGUAGUGGCUUACCAAGUCUUUGACGGAUAGCCGGCCUGAGAGGGGGACCGGCCUCAAGGGUACUGAGAGACGGCGCAGACUCGUACGGGCGGCAGCAGUGGGGAAUAUUACACAAUGGGCGGAAGCCUGAUGCAGCAGUGCCGCGUGCGGGAUGACGUCCUUCGAGUUGUAAACCGCUUUCGCCUGUGACGAAGCGUGAGUGACGGUAAUGGGUAAAGAAGCACCGGCUAACUACGUG
rnacentral:rRNA from 1 species